UAAAUCAAUUGUGAUAAGAAAUAUCAUCAGGGUUAUUCCAACGGUUGUGAUGCUGAUUCUUCUGCUCCUUCUCUGUCUGUGGAUGAGGAAGAUGAAAACUCUGAGUUCCACAAAUGAACCAGAAGGGACUGUGGUGUGGGACUAUUAUCCUGUGAACAACAGCCCAAACGCUGCAGCACAGAGAGAGGACACAGAGGAGCAGG